rnacentral:rRNA from 1 species
GUGAGGAAUUUUCCGCAAUGGGCGAAAGCCUGACGGAGCAAUGCCGCGUGAAGGAUGAAGGCCUAUGGGUUGUAAACUUCUUUUCUCAGAAAAGAAUUAUGACGGUAUCUGAGGAAUAAACAUCGGCUAACUCUGUGCCAGCAGCCGCGGUAAGACAGAGGAUGCAAGCGUUAUCCGGAAUGAUUGUGCGUAAAGCGUCUGUAGGUUGUUUACAAAGUAUUCUGUCAAAGAUUAGGGCUUAACCCUAGAUAGGCAGAAUAAACUUUUAAGCUAGAGUUUGGUAGAGGCAGAGGGAAUUCCCGGUGGAGCGGUGAAAUGCGUAGAUAUCGGGAGGAACACCAAAGGCGAAGGCACUCUGCUGGGCCAAUACUAACACUGAGAGACGAAAGCGAGGGGAGCAAAUGGGAUUAGAUACCCUAGUAGUCC